UACGAAGGGUGCUAGCGUUGCUCGGAAUUACUGGGCGUAAAGGGCGCGUAGGCGGAUAGUUUAGUCAGAGGUGAAAGCCCAGGGCUCAACCUUGGAAUUGCCUUUGAUACUGGCUAUCUUGAGUUCGGGAGAGGUGAGUGGAAUGCCGAGUGUAGAGGUGAAAUUCGUAGAUAUUCGGCGGAACACCAGUGGCGAAGGCGACUCACUGGCCCGAUACUGACGCUGAGGCGCGAAAGCGUGGGGAGCAAACAGG
rnacentral:rRNA from 1 species